rnacentral:rRNA from 1 species
UACAGGGGGUGCAAACGUUGCUCGGAAUUAUUGGGCGUAAAGGGCGCGUAGGCGGCUACUUAAGUCGGAUGUGAAAGCCCUUGGCUCAACUGAGGAAGUGCACCCGAAACUGAGUGGCUUGAGUACUAAAGAGGGUAGCGGAAUUCCCGGUGUAGAGGUGAAAUUCGUAGAUAUCGGGAGGAACACCGGUGGCGAAGGCGGCGACCUGGGUAGAUACUGACGCUGAGGCGCGAAAGCGUGGGGAGCAAACAGG